rnacentral:rRNA from 1 species
UGGGGCAUAUUGGACAAUGGGCGAAAGCCUGAUCCAGCCAUGCCGCGUGUGUGAAGAAGGUCUUCGGAUUGUAAAGCACUUUAAGUUGGGAGGAAGGGCAUUAACCUAAUACGUUAGUGUUUUGACGUUACCGACAGAAUAAGCACAGGCUAACUCUGUGCCAGCAGCCGCGGUAAUACAGAGGGUGCAAGCGUUAAUCGGAAUUACUGGGCGUAAAGCGCGCGUAGGUGGUUUGUUAAGUUGGAUGUGAAAUCCCCGGGCUCAACCUGGGAACUGCAUUCAAAACUGACUGACUAGAGUAUGGUAGAGGGUGGUGGAAUUUCCUGUGUAGCGGUGAAAUGCGUAGAUAUAGGAAGGAACACCAGUGGCGAAGGCGACCACCUGGACUAAUACUGACACUGAGGUGCGAAAGCGUGGGGAGCAAACA